rnacentral:lncRNA from 1 species
GAAGAAGCAUAAAAAAGUCAAGAGUCAGCUAGACCAGGCAAAAUUGGCCUUUCCUUCUUUGCUCUGUUCCCGUUACACGACAAAGAGCAAAGAGGGGCAGCUGUAAUAGGCCUAUUUUGCCUAAACCCAAUUAAAAUACAAAGACUAAAAUAAAAUAAAUGCUCAGUCCAGUUUUUUUCACAAACCAAAUUAAUAAACCCAAAUUACAUCAGCAGGCCCAAUACCCAAACAACCCAAAUAGCCCAACUAACCUAACUAAACCCUAGCCCAAAAAGAAACAAAAAGAAAAGAAAAGCAAAAAACCCUAAAGAAAUCAGCAGCCGCCUCCCCCAACUC